AUUGAACGCUGGCGGAAUGCUUUACACAUGCAAGUCGAACGGCAGCACGGACUUCGGUCUGGUGGCGAGUGGCGAACGGGUGAGUAAUGUAUCGGAACGUGCCCAGUCGUGGGGGAUAACGUAGUGAAAAUUACGCUAAUACCGCAUACGAUCUAUGGAUGAAAGCGGGGGAUCGCAAGACCUCGCGCGAUUGGAGCGGCCGAUAUCAGAUUAGGUAGUUGGUGGGGUAAAGGCCCACCAAGCCAACGAUCUGUAGCUGGUCUGAGAGGACGACCAGCCACACUGGAACUGAGACACGGUCCAGACUCCUACGGGAGGCAGCAGUGGGAAUUCUGGACAAUGGGCGAAAGCCUGAUCCAGCCAUUCCGCGUGCAGGAUGAAGGCCCUCGGGUUGUAAACUGCUUUUGUACAGAACGAAAAGGUUUCUACUAAUACUAGGAGCUCAUGACGGUACUGUAAGAAUAAGCACCGGCUAACUACGUGCCAGCAGCCGCCGUAA
rnacentral:rRNA from 1 species